UUCGCAAUGCCCGAAAGGGUGACGAAGCGACGCCGCGUGCGGGAAGAAGGCCUUCGGGUUGUAAACCGCUGUCGGGAGUUAAGAAAUGCACAGAUGUUAAUAGCGUCUUUGCUUGACUAAGGCUCCGGAGGAAGCCACGGCUAACUCUGUGCCAGCAGCCGCGGUAAUACAGAGGCGGCAAGCGUUGUUCGGAAUUAUUGGGCGUAAAGAGCACGUAGGCGGCUAUGUAAGUCGGUUGUGAAAGCCUUCCGCUCAACGGGAGAACAGCAUCCGAUACUGCAUGGCUUGAGUGCGGGAGGGGAGAGUGGAACUUCUGGUGGAGCGGUGAAAUGCGUAGAUAUCGGAAGGAACGCCGGCGGCGAAAGCGGCUCUCUGGCCCGUAACUGACGCUGAGUGUGCGAAAGCUAGGGGAGCAAACGGGAUUAGAUACCCCGGUAGUCCUAGCCGUAAACGAUGGGCACUAAGUAGAGGGGUUUU
rnacentral:rRNA from 1 species